rnacentral:rRNA from 2 species
GUCUGAUGUGAAAGCCUUCGGCUUAACGGAGAAGUGCAUCGGAAACUGGGAGACUUGAGUGCAGAAGAGGAGUGGAACUCCAUGUGUAGCGGUGGAAUGCGUAGAUAUAUGGAAGAACACCAGUGGCGAAGGCGGCUGUCUAGUCUGUAACUGACGCUGAGGCUCGAAAGCAUGGGUAGCGAACAGGAUUAGAUACCCUGGUAGUCCAUGCCGUAAACGAUGAGUGCUAAGUGUUGGAGGGUUUCCGCCCUUCAGUGCUGCAGCUAACGCAUUAAGCACUCCGCCUGGGGAGUACGACCGCAAGGUUGAAACUCAAAGGAAUUGACGGGGGCCCGCACAAGCGGUGGAGCAUGUGGUUUAAUUCGAAGCUACGCGAAGAACCUUACCAGGUCUUGACAUCUUCUGCCAAUCUUAGAGAUAAGACGUUCCCUUCGGGGACAGAAUGACAGGUGGUGCAUGGUUGUCGUCAGCUCGUGUCGUGAGAUGUUGGGUUAAGUCCCGCAACGAGCGCAACCCUUAUUAUCAGUUGCCAGCAUUCAGUUGGGCACUCUGGUGAGACUGCCGGUGACAAACCGGAGGAAGGUGGGGAUGACGUCAAAUCAUCAUGCCCCUUAUGACCUGGGCUACACACGUGCUACAAUGGACGGUACAACGAGUUGCGAAGUCGUGAGGCUAAGCUAAUCUCUUAAAGCCGUUCUCAGUUCGGAUUGUAGGCUGCAACUCGCCUACAUGAAGUUGGAAUCGCUAGUAAUCGCGGAUCAGCAUGCCGCGGUGAAUACGUUCCCGGGCCUUGUACACACCGCCCGUCACACCAUGAGAGUUUGUAACACCCAAAGCCGGUGAGAUAACCUUCGGGAGUCAGCCGUCUAAGGUGGACAGAGAUAGG